UGCAAGUCGAACGAUGAAGCCUUUCGGGGUGGAUUAGUGGCGAACGGGUGAGUAACACGUGGGCAAUCUGCCCUUCACUCUGGGACAAGCCCUGGAAACGGGGUCUAAUACCGGAUAACACUCUGUCCUGCAUGGGACGGGGUUAAAAGCUCCGGCGGUGAAGGAUGAGCCCGCGGCCUAUCAGCUUGUUGGUGGGGUAAUGGCCUACCAAGGCGACGACGGGUAGCCGGCCUGAGAGGGCGACCGGCCACACUGGGACUGAGACACGGCCCAGACUCCUACGGGAGGCAGCAGUGGGGAAUAUUGCACAAUGGGCGAAAGCCUGAUGCAGCGACGCCGCGUGAGGGAUGACGGCCUUCGGGUUGUAAACCUCUUUCAGCAGGGAAGAAGCGAAAGUGACGGUACCUGCAGAAGAAGCGCCGGCUAACUACGUGCCAGCAGCCGCGGUAAUACGUAGGGCGCAAGCGUUGUCCGGAAUUAUUGGGCGUAAAGAGCUCGUAGGCGGCUUGUCACGUCGGAUGUGAAAGCCCGGGGCUUAACCCCGGGUCUGCAUUCGAUACGGGCUAGCUAGAGUGUGGUAGGGGAGAUCGGAAUUCCUGGUGUAGCGGUGAAAUGCGCAGAUAUCAGGAGGAACACCGGUGGCGAAGGCGGAUCUCUGGGCCAUUACUGACGCUGAGGAGCGAAAGCGUGGGGAGCGAACAGGAUUA
rnacentral:rRNA from 1 species